rnacentral:rRNA from 1 species
GUAGGUGGCAAGCGUUGUCCGGGAAUUAUUGGGGCGUAAAGCGCGCGCAGGCGGUUCUUUAAGUCUGAUGUGAAAGCCCACGGGCUCAACCGUGGAGGGUCAUUGGGAACUGGAGAACUUGAGUACAGAAGAGGAAAGCGGAAUUCCACGUGUAGCGGUGAAAUGCGUAGAGAUGUGGAGGAACACCAGUGGCGAAGGCGGCUUUCUGGUCUGUAACUGACGCUGAGGCGCGAAAGCGUGGGGAGCAAACAGGAUUAGAUACCCUGGUAGUCCACGCCGUAAACGAUGAGUGCUAAGUGUUAGGGGUUUCCGCCCCUUAGUGCUGCAGCUAACGCAUUAAGCACUCCGCCUGGGGAGUACGGCCGCAAAGGCUG